UCCUUUCCCUCGCCCUAAAACCGCUCUGAACGGACCCCCACUCCGCCCUGACUCUUUCUCUUCCGUUACCCACAAUAAACCUCGCCCUAAUGACCAUUACCACACCAGAAACGGCUGCUAUUGAUGCCUUAACAUUGAAGAUGCGCCGCUCCGCUUCGGCUCUCUGCUAUGGUAUAAAAGGGGGGCCCGAGGAACCUCUAUUCGCCCUGCAUCUCCCAGUCCAUGAACCCCUCUCCAACGCCCUUCGAUUCCCGAGCAAUUGCUCGUCGGAGUCGAGGCCGCCGUCUUCUUCCAUUGAAGCUCACGACCUCUCUACAUCAAGCCAGAGCACGACCUCCGCGAAGAACGCAACUGACCGGAGCUCCAUGCAACUCCGGCGAUAUCUUCACGACACUCGAGGAAGGAGACGAGCACCUAUCUGUGUCCCUCGCGACCGCCUCGUCGACCUCUACACUGUCCAACCGUUCAAUGACGCCGGGGGUUUUCUUCUCGAACUCCGGCAAAACUCCAGCGAACUCUCACGAUUGCGACGAGUGCGAAGGUGAAUUCUAUGAGGAGGUAGAACCUUGUGACUACGAAACCGAAG